UUGUUGAGACUUCCCAGAAUUUUUUUCACUUUGUCUAUAUUCCUGUACCACUUGUAAGCACCAGAAUUGGGAGCAGGAGCUGUCAAGAAUACUCAGUAUCUUCUUUGGCAGCCACUUCUACUCUUUGCUCCAGGUUACGUACAGCUGGGACUGCUGCUACCUGAUUGCAAGAAUUAUAUAAGACCAAGAUAAUGAAGGCUAGAUUUAAAAAACAUAAAGGUAAGUAAUCUGAAUUUGAACCCAGAUCUGUAUGACUCAGAAGUCCAUGCUUUUAAAUCAAUCCUCAUGCUGUCUCUAUGAGUAAGGGAAAAAAUGUCAUGAAAGUGUUAUUUUAGCCAGAAAUAAGUGUAGGAAAGGCCACAGAAACAGGACCCUCUAUAUUGCUUUGGCAAUGUUGGACAAACCU
rnacentral:lncRNA from 1 species